UGUUUAUUACGAAUCUGUGUGCUUUCCUCUGCUUUAUAUUCCUGCACUCCUGCUUUACUCUGUUUUAUAUUCCCUAUGGGUGCCGUAUUUAUGUUAUGUCAUCUGCUGCUGUGCUGUACUAUGUGUUUGUGUGAUAUCUCGUAACUUGAGCCGGGGGUCUUUCGGAAACAGCCUUUCUACUUCAUCAGAGGUAGAGGUAUGGACUGCGUACAUCUUACCCCCCCCAGACCCCACUAAGUGGGAAUACACUGGGUUUGUUGUUGUUGUUGUUGUUCUCUCGCGUGAAUUUAAUUAAACCUCACUAGUUAUAGCUCUGUAUUUGCCUGCUUGUCUAUACUUAGGGGUGGCAACAUCAGUCCUAAAAUCAUGACCUGCCCAACCUAAAUUUAGGUUUGGGGGGUAAUGACCCGCUUAUUUUAUUAAAUUAGCCUAUUUUGACCCGCUUAACUCUGCCCACAAAACUGUGUUGAUUUUUUUUAAUCAGGCAAAACGUAUUCUCAUCUUAUUUGUCCUAAGUCGGGGGUUUAUCGGAAACAGCCUCUCUACUUCAUCUAAGGUAGUGGUAUGGACUGCGUACAUCUUACCCUCCCCGACCCCACCAUUGUGGGAAUACACCGGGCAUGUUGAUGUUGUUGCAAAACGUAUUUUCAUCCAUAAACAUGGCCACACAUUUGGCCAUUUACAUGAGGUAUACAAAAAAGUAAAGAAUCUAUAAUAAUAAAUGAUUUUCAGCAACUCCAACCAUCUCCUAUACAAAUUGGAAUUCUAUGGGUGCACCAAAAGAAAAUAAGGGACCGGAUGCUUCUCCUCAAAUGAGAAAAGCUCGAUUCUACCCCCAAAAGCUCUCCUAUUUCUUUCUCUCCACACGACUCAUAUCAACGCGAGUGGAACCACGUUCCAAGCCUUGCAUCAUCUCCUCCUUCCCCGCUAUUCCAACUAAUCAUCAAUUCUUUUGCACAAAAUUGUGUUGAUAUGCAGCCCAAAUUGAUUGAAGAGAAAUAUUAUCUAAGUAUUUGUAAACAAAAAAUUAUUUGAUCCCAUUGUAUAAGAACGAGGGUGACAUUCAGAAUUGCAACACCUACAGAGGUAUCAAUCUACUGAGCCGCACUAUGAAGGUGUGGGAGAGCUAAGGGUAAGGAGGAAGAUGAGGAACAUGUUUAUUACUGAGAACCAGUUCAGAUUCAUGUCGGGGCAUUCAACUACAUAAGCCAUGCACCUCAUUAGGAGACCGAUGGAACAAUAUAGGAGAAGGAAGCGGGACGUUCACAUGGUGUUCAUCAACAUAGAAAAAGAUUAUGACAAGGUUCCGAGGGAAGAGGGAGGUUUUAUGGAGGUGCGUGGAGGCUACAAGUGUUCUUAUGGCGUACACUAGAGUGAUUAAGGAUACGUAUGAUCGAGCCAAAACACAGGUAAGCAAAACUAGUGGGUAGGGUGGGUUUGGGGGUGGGAGUGGGAGUGGGGGAGGGGUCCUCAGCAUUUCCGCAUUUCCAAUUGUGAUGAGGCUACACCACGAAUCAGCUCGUAACCCAUUUUCAUUUGCCUCAGUGAUGAAUGAAUUGACUCGGCAUAUCCAACCAUAGUGUCUGUUAUUUGCUGAGAUCGACCAAACAACAAAGACAACAGAGUUAACUCUAAGCUUGAGGUUUGGCGACAAACCCUUUUAAGUCUAAAGUUUCAAGUUUAGCAAGACCAAGACAUAAUACUUGGAGAGCAAGUUAAGUGACGGAACAUAUGAGGAUAUUACGGAAGUGAGGUUUAAUUCACAAGUUAUCCAUAAAAGAAUAAGCGUUAAGUAUCUUGGGUCUUCUAUCUAGAGUAAUGGAGAAAUCGAAGAAAUCGACAAAGAUGUCACACAACAUAUUGGAGAAUGGUGGGUGAAAUGGAGGCUCUAAUCCGGAGUCUUGUGUGAUAGGAAAUUGUCAUCAAAACUUAAAAGGCAAGUUCCACAAACCGGUGGUUAGACCGGCUAAGUUGUAUGAAGCGAAAUAUUGGCUAGUCAAGAACUCCAUGUUCAGAAGUUGAAAGCUGCGAAAAUGAGGAUCUUGAGGUACAUGUGUGGGCAUGCUAGGAGAGAUAAGAAUAGAAAUGAGGAUAUCCAGAACAAGGUAAGAAUGGCCUCAACGGAGAAUUAAGAUGCGAGAAGCGGGACUUAGAUGGGGUUUCUUUCGUAAGUAAAGAUUUUAUUUAAAGAAUACCAAGAUGGUACAGCAAAAGGUACACGAAUCAGCAGCAAACUCUAAACCAAUACAACAUAUCAUCUCCUACCAAAUACAAAAAUUCCACAUACUAUCCAUCAUAUCUAAAGUUCUGCUAAUAACACCAAAAAUACAGAUUUUUAAUGCAUUUCUUUUUCAACUCUAAAAAUCUGUAGCUUCUUCCCGUCAAAGCAUGACUUAAUCCUUUCUAGCCAAAAGGUCCACAUUAUGCAAUUGGGAAUAGUUUUCCAUACUGGCUUUAAGCUCUUUUUAACCUCCUGUGAUUGCCACACUUCCAACAAACUACUAAUUUUCCCUGGUAACACCAAUAAUAUGCUCAUUAUGCUACAGAAAAAUUCCCAACACUGUCGUGAAAAUCUGCAAUGCAAGAAUAGAUGUUCAACUGUUUCCUUCUCUAAAUUGCAGAAACAGCAUCUGCUGCACAUCGAAAAACCUCUCCUUUGUAACUAAUUUUGUGUUUGGCAUGCAUCUCUAGCUGCUAACCAACCAAAAAAAAAUGUUUUCGUAGGCUCUUUGGUUAUCCAAAUCAUCUUCCAUGGCCAGUUAGGAAUUUCUUAACGGAGCUGUUGCAACAACAUUUUGUAGCAGUUAUUGACUGAGAAUACCUUGUCCUUACUUUUAACCCAAACCAGCCUGUCUGCUUUGUCUUGUUCAACAUAAAUUCAGUUGUUGAAGUAGCUGACAAAAACUUUCUAUUUCCCAAUCAUUUAGAAAUCUUCUAAAAGUAAUAUUCCAUCCAGAUGCAGAAUUAAAUUCUGCGAUACAACCCUCUUUAUUCAAAGCACAAUUGAACAAGACAGGAAAUCUGCUUUUGAAACUUGAUUUCCACACCAAGUGUCCAUCCAAAAUUUAAUCCUCCUACCAUUUCCCACCUCCAAUCUAGUGAACUGUAGCAGUACAUCCCACCAACCCCCACAAGUUUUUCAGCUGUGAAGGAAUUUGUUUCUAUCCUACCUUUGAAUCAUAUAUUGCAUCCAGAACUUGCUGCCAAAACUCAUCUCUUUCCUUGCUAUAUCUCCAGAGCUAUUUAAAAAGUAAACUUUUAUUACACAUUUUCAAAUUCCUUGCCCCAAGUCCACCAUCCUUUUUUCUUUAAUAACCAUUUGCCCACUUGAUCAGAUGAGUCCUUUUUUUUUUUGAGCCCCAUCCCAUGGGAAGUUUCUCCUUAUAGAGUCUAUCUUCUUUUCAACUGUUAUAGGCAUACUGAAUAAAGACAUAGUGUAUGUGGGAAUUCCAUCCAAGACACUGUUGAUAAGAAUUAGGCCGCCCCCAAAGAUAGGAGGUAUUCUUUUUCCCAUGGAGUGAACUUAUUCUUGCAUCAAUCAACGAUCCCCCGCCAAAUGCUACUGUCCUUUCUUUUUGCCCCUAAAGGCAGCCCCAAAUAGGCAGUAAGAAGUUCUCUACUUUACAAUCCAGACUGUCGGCCAACUCUUCUAUAUUCUCAUCAGCAUUUAUACUGAAGAUGCUAAUUUUGGCCAGGUUAACUCGUAGCCCAGUGAUUGCCUCAAAACAAAAGCAACACCCUUCUCAAAUGUAGAAUAUGAUCUCUAUCAGCUUCACAAAACAAGAGGGAGCCAUCGGCAUAGAAAAUAAGUAUGAUUUAAGUAUCAUACCAUCCUCUUCAUUUCUGCCAAUUUUGAGCCCCCUAAUCCAACCCGGGAUUUCUUCCUUCCUCAACAUAUUGUUGAGGAUUUCCAUUACCAAAACAAAAAGAUAAGGUGACAGAGGAUCUCCCUGUCUAAUACCUCACCUCUAUGAGAGCUGUAGAAUCCUUGAGGGUUACCACUGAUUAAAAUGGAAAACUUCACUAUUGAAAUGCAAAACCUUAUCCAUUUUUGUCCAUCUCUCACAAAAUUCAUCAACUUUAACAAUUCUAGUAAGCAGUGUCAAUUAACAUGAUCAUACGCCUUCUCUAGAUCAAUCUUGCAAGCCACCCCUUUUUCCUUUCUCUUGAACAGAUUAUCUAGACUCUCAUAUGCUACCGGGGGUGGGGUUCGGGCAUGUGAAGAGGAGAUGCAAGGAUGCACAGUGCGGAUGUGUGAGGGGUUGGUUUUGGAUGAUUAUAGGAGAGGCAAAGAAUGUCGAGGAAGCAUUGGAUAGAGUGACUAGUACAUGAUGCAGCUCCAGCUUACCAAGGACGUGACCUUGGAUAGAAGAUUAUGGAGGACAUGGAUUACGGUAAAGGAUUAGUUAGGUAGUUGAGGGUUGUUAUGGCCUAAGUUGCUUGGACUCGAGUGCGGGUGUCGGACACAGGCGCGGAUCCGAGUGUCGGAUCCUUCAUGAUCGAAUUUUUGAGAUUCAGGGAUAUGGAUCUGGAUACGGAUACGGGUGCGGGGACUCGGCAAAAAGAAACAAAAAUUUAUACAUAUAGUUCAAAAUUGACAAGUAUUUUAAAACUAAUAAAAAAUGAGAAUAUUAAAAUGUUCAAUAUAUACUUACGCUAAAUUUAGUUUCAUUAAAGAAUGUGUGCUUUCAAAGCAUAUACAUUAAUCUUUAAUUUAUAAUUAAAUAAUUAUAAUAUUUAUCCUUAUUUUAUAAGCUGUGGUACUCUGGGAGCGAGAGGCGUAGGAAUGGAGUUGGCAUCUUAGUAGAUGAAGAGCUUAGAGGUCAGGUAGUGGAGGUGAAGAGGAUCAACGAUAGGUUGAUGACUAUUAAGUUGGUCAUUCGGGGGUUUACCCUGAACGUGUGUAGUGCUUAUGCGCCGCAAGUGGGAUCGGAGGGGGAGGAGAAGAUGCGGUUCUGGGAGGCUUUGGAGGAGGUGGUGAGAGGCGUGCCCAGUUCGGAGAAGAUUGUUGUAGCAGGGGAUUUCAACGGGCACAUCGGGGCGCUACCGGGAGGCUUUGGGGAUGUGCAUGGUGGUUUUGGUUUUGGGGAGAGAAAUGAAGAGGGUGCGACCCUAUUGGAGUUUGCGAGGGCGUUUGGGCUGGUGGUGGUGAACUCGGGCUUCCCGAAGAAGGACGAGCACCUGAUCACUUUUCGGAGCGCGAUAGCCAGGACCCAGAUUGACUUUUUGUUGCUUAGGAAAGGGGAUAGGGCGUUGUGUAAAGACUGUAAAGUCAUCCCGAGUGAGAAUCUUUCGACCCAACAUAGGCUCUUGGUUAUGGAUUUGGGUAUAAAGAAGAAUAGAAAGAGGAGGAGUAAGGAGUGUAGACCGAGAAUUAAGUGGGGCGGCUUGACGCCAGUGAAUGCGUGGGAGAUAGGGGAGAGGUUGGCGGGAAUGGGGGUGUGGGAGUGUAGGGGGGACGUGGAUAAUAUGUGGGACAGGGCGGCAACGUGCAUCAGGGAGAAUGCAAGGGAGGUGUUGGGUGUUUCUAGGGGCCGGGCCGGACAUCAUCGGGGGGAUUGGUGGUGGAAUGAAGAGGUGGGGAAGAAAGUGGAGACCAAGAAAGAGGCGUAUGCUAAGUUGGUGGAAAGUAAGGACGAAGAAGAGAAGCGGGUAAACAGGAAAGAGUACAAGCUAGCGAGGAAGGAGGCGAAGUCAGCGGUCACGGCAGCUAAGACGGCCGCUUUUGAGAGCUUGUAUGCAGGGUUACAGGGGAAAGGAGGGGAGAAAAAGUUGUUCCGACUCGCUAAGGCUAGGGAGAGGAAGGGUCGUGACCUCGAUCAGGUGAGGUGCAUUAAGGGGGAGGACGGUAGAGUGUUGGUGGAGGACGGCCACAUAAAGAAGAGAUGGCAGUCGUACUUUCAUAGGCUCUUGAAUGACGAGGGGGACAGAGCUAUUGUGUUAGGGGAACUGGAGCACUCAGGGGAGUGUCGGGAUUUUAGCUAUUGUAGACGUUUUAAGGUAGACGAGGUUAGACAGGCAGUCCGCAGGAUGCGAAGGGGUAGGGCGACGGGGCCGGAUGAGAUACCGGUGGAGUUUUGGAAGUUCGUUGGAGAGGCUGGUGUAAGGUGGUUGACUGCAUUGUUCAAUGAAAUUUUCAGGACGGCAAAGAUGCCCGAGGCGUGGAGGUGGAGUACCAUGAUCCCCCUCUAUAAGAAUAAGGGGGACAUUCAGUGUUGCAAUAACUAUAGGGGGAUUAAGUUACUGAGUCACUCUAUGAAGAUCUGGGAGAGAGUGGUCGAGGUGAGGCUGAGACGGAUAGUGUCUAUCUCGGAAAACCAGUUCGGAUUUAUGCCCGGCCGCUCGACGACGGAGGCAAUUCACCUGGUACGGCGGUUGGUGGAGCAAUAUAGGGAAAGGAAGAAGGAUUUGCACAUGGUGUUCAUCGACCUAGAAAAGGCGUACGACAAAGUCCCCAGGGAGGUGCUUUGGAGAUGCUUGGAGGUGAGUGGAGUACCGCAGGCAUAUAGCAGAGUAAUUAAGGAUAUGUAUGAGGGAGCGAAAACCCAGGUGAGGACGGCGGGAGGAGACUCAGAGCAUUUCACUGUCCUGACAGGAUUGCAUCAGGGAUCUACUCUUAGUCCCUUUUUGUUUGCGCUAGUAAUGGAUGUGUUAACGCGGCGUAUCCAAGGGGAGGUGCCGUGGUGUAUGCUUUUUGCAGACGAUGUAGUCCUGAUAGAUGAGACGCGAGGGGGUGUGAACGACAAAUUAGAGCUGUGGAGGCAAACUCUGGAGUCUAAAGGGUUCAGGGUGAGCAGAACCAAGACAGAGUAUGUGGAAUGUAAGUUUAAUGACGUAAGGCGAGAGAAUGAGGUAGUGGUGAGGCUAGAAGCGCAGGAGGUAAAGAAAAGGGAUAAGUUCAAGUACCUCGGGUCCGUGAUCCAGAGUAACGGUGAGAUUGACGAGGAUGUCUCGCACCGUAUCGGGGCGGGAUGGAUGAAGUGGAAACUUGCAUCGGGGGUGCUGUGUGAUAAGAAGGUGCCGCCCAAGCUUAAAGGUAAAUUCUAUAGGGUGGUAGUCCGUCCGGCCUUGCUGUAUGGAGCGGAGUGUUGGCCAGUUAAGAACUCCCACACCCAAAGAAUGAAGGUGGCAGAAAUGCGGAUGUUGCGCUGGAUGUGUGGACUGACCCGAAGGGAUAGAGCUCGGAAUGAGACUAUCCGGGAGAAGGUUGGGGUGACUUCAGUGGAGUGUAAGAUGCGGGAAGCACGAUUGAGAUGGUUCGGACACGUGAAGAGGAGGGGCAUGGAUGCCCCGGUCCGUAGGUGUGAGAGGCUAGCGUUGGAUGGUUUUAGACGGGGUAGGGGUAGACCGAAGAAGUACUGGGGUGAGGUGAUUAGGCGGGACAUGGAACAGUUACAGCUUACCGAGGACAUGACCCUAGAUAGGAAGGUCUGGAAGACGCGAAUUACGGCAGAGGAUUAGGGCCUGUUCGGGUCGCUAAUGUAGGGAGGUAAUUGGUGGGGGUGUAUUCCUGGUAUGAUUCCGUAUUCAAUGUUCUGUUCCGUGUUCCGUGUUCUAUGUUUGUUACGAAUCUGUGUGCUUUCCUCUGCUUUAUAUUCCUGCAUCCCUGCUUUACUCUGUUUUAUAUUCCUUAUGGCUGCAGUAUCUAUGUUAUGUCAUCUGCUUCUGUGCUGUACUAUGUGUUUGUGUGAUAUCUUGUGCCUUGAGCCGGGGGUCUUUCGGAAACAGCCUUUCUACUUCAUCAGAGGUAGAGGUAUGGACUGCGUACAUCUUACCCCCCCAGACCCCACUAAGCGG
rnacentral:lncRNA from 1 species